AGCAGCCGCGGUAAUUCCAACUCCAAUAGCGUAUAUUAAAGUUGUUGCAGUUAAAAAGCUCGUAGUUGAAUUUCGGGAUUUAUCCGUCGGUCGGGCUUUUGGGUCUGUAACUGGCGUGAUGAAUUCCUACCUUCUGAAUAACCGGCAUGUCAUUAAUUUGGUGCGCUGGGGAAGCAGGACUGUUACCUUGAAAAAUUAGAGUGCUUAAAGCAGGCUAUUGCCUGAAUACAUUAGCAUGGAAUAAUGAAAUAGGACGGCAUGGUUCUAUUUUGUUGGUUUCUAGGAUCACCGUAAUGAUUAAUAGGGAUAGUUGGGGGCAUUAGUAUUCAAUUGUCAGAGGUGAAAUUCUUGGAUUUAUUGAAGACUAACUUCUGCGAAAGCAUUUGCCAAGGAUGUUUUCAUUAAUCAAGAACGAAAGUUAGGGGAUCGAAGACGAUCAGAUACCGUCGUAGUCUUAACCAUAAACUAUGCCGACUAGGGAUCGGACGAUGUUGAUUUUUAAUGACUCGUUCGGCGCCUU
rnacentral:rRNA from 1 species